AGAGUUUGAUCAUGGCUCAGGAUGAACGCUAGCUACAGGCUUAACACAUGCAAGUCGAGGGGAAACGACAUCGAAAGCUUGCUUUUGAUGGGCGUCGACCGGCGCACGGGUGAGUAACGCGUAUCCAACCUGCCCACCACUUGGGGAUAACCUUGCGAAAGUAAGACUAAUACCCAAUGACGUCUCUAGAAGACAUCUGAAAGGGAUUAAAGAUUUAUCGGUGAUGGAUGGGGAUGCGUCUGAUUAGCUUGGUUGGCGGGGUAACGGCCACCAAGGCUACGAUCAGUAGGGGUUCUGAGAGGAACGGUCCCCCANAUUGGAACUGAGACACGGUCCAAACGUCUACGGGAGGCA
rnacentral:rRNA from 1 species